AUUGAACGCUGGCGGCAUGCCUUACACAUGCAAGUCGAACGGCAGCACGGGAGCAAUCCUGGUGGCGAGUGGCGAACGGGUGAGUAAUACAUCGGAACGUGCCCAGUAGUGGGGGAUAGCCCGGCGAACGCCGGAUUAAUACCGCAUACGACCUGAGGGUGAAAGCGGGGGAUCGCAAGACCUCGCGCUAUUGGAGCGGACGAUGUCAGGUUAGCUAGUUGGAGGGGUAAAGGCCUACCAAGGCAACGAUCUGUAGUUGGUCUGAGAGGACGACCAGCCACACUGGGACUGAGACACGGCCCAGACUCCUACGGGAGGCAGCAGUGGGGAAUUUUGGACAAUGGGGGCAACCCUGAUCCAGCAAUGCCGCGUGCAGGAAGAAGGCCUUCGGGUUGUAAACUGCUUUUGUCAGGGAAGAAAUCCUCUGGGUUAAUACCCCGGGGGGAUGACGGUACCUGAAGAAUAAGCACCGGCUAACUACGUGCCAGCAGCCGCCGUAA
rnacentral:rRNA from 1 species